rnacentral:rRNA from 1 species
ACGUAGGGGGCAAGCGUUAUCCGGAAUUAUUGGGCGUAAAGAGUGCGUAGGUGGUUUUUUAAGCGUGAGGUGAAAGGCAAUAGCUUAACUAUUGUAAGCCUUGCGAACUGGAAGACUUGAGUGCAGGAGAGGAAAGUGGAAUUCCUAGUGUAGCUGUGAAAUGCGUAGAAAUUAGGAGGAACAACAGAGGCGAAGGCGACAUUCAGGAUUGUAUCCGACUCUGAUGCACGAAAGCAUGGAGAGCAAACAG